GCUGUACAAAUUUAAAUCUUUGCUCCCUCGCGGGUCGCGGCAUGGCAGAUUUUCAGAUAUCAUGAGUUGAGAAGGCAGCCUCUGACCUUUGCUUUGGGAUGGUUAGUUGUGUGGAACACCUUCUCAGCGACAAUUUAACAGUCAGAACAGGUAAAGAUGCAGUUGCAGCUAUACGGAAAGAUCUAGCGGAACCCACCAUUACACUGUCAUUCAUCUUCCCUACAUCCUUGCACACACGAUCCAAUAUGGACAGGAAGUCUCUCACAAUCAUGAAGAUCCUGAAAGGAUGGGCUUCUUCCUUAGCAGCAUUAUCAUGAAAAUACUCUGUCACCUCUUUCACCAAGGACAGGACCUUUCUUUCAUCAGACUUUAUGCAUGCAAUUUCCUCUUCUGCCUUUUUCAGAAACAUUUCCAUUGAUUCUAAGAAUUUCCCUUGUGCGUCCGGCUUCUGAAAUUGCAAAUCCACCCUUAUUUUCUCAAGCCCUAUUUCAAGUUUUGAGACGUAGCUGCUCAAGACAUCUGAGUCCAUCCCUGCUGCUAGUUUGACAUUACCAAGUUCUCUGCUUAAGCCAGCAACCACUUGGAGUCCUUGCUUCCUGAAAUCCUCCUCUAAUUUAGAAUUGAUUUGAUUGGAAAGUUUUUCAGCUGUAGAAUCAGAAGCUUCAGCUUCUGAUCUGACAAUCUCCUGGACGACAAAGUGGAGUAAAGUUGUCUUCCCAUCUGUGCCCCUAAUAUCUACUAAUUUUAACAGCGUAUCAAGCUUAAAAGCUUUAGCAUCACCACGAUUGGUACCGACAUUCAUUCUGUUUCCUGUCCUGAGAACUGCUUCAAGGAGUUUGAGGAACAAGGGGCUAUUCUUCAAUUCCCCACUUGCUGCCUGAAAAUGUCAUAAAUGAUUAGCAACAUCUUGAGGGAAAAAGUUAUAGAGGGAUAAACAGGGCAUGACAUUCAUAAACAUUUUUUGCUUUGAGUAUUCAAGAGUCAUAAAUAACAAGUAGGGAGAAAAUCUCUAGAGUCCAACUUUAGGAGAACAAUGGGCACUUCAAUAGCAGAAACCUCAACAAUGGUAACCUUUCAGCAAAAGGAAUAGAGUUGGAGGUUUUAUGGAAAGUUACCUCUAGAGUUUCAAAGGACUUUCUCAAAUACUUUACUUCUGUGUCAAAGUUUUCCCUGUAUAGCAUUGCUUCAACUCUUUUAAAAGCAAAUGGUAUGUCAAGUACUGCCUUAAGAAAUCUCUCUGCAGACCCUAAUUUUAAGACGUCACUUUUAUAGUCUCUUAGUUUUAUUUCUUCUUCUUUGGUUGGAGCCAUCUUUACCAAGGUUUCCAAAAGCUCAGCUCCCAAGCUGUCUGGGUUUCCUGUUGCAAACAACAUACACUGCAUGAGAUGGAGCAAGCUUAAGAUGCAGAAUCUAUUUUGCGGACAUCACAUUUUGCUUUAUUAGUAGUUUUCAUUCCUAUUUACUGUAAAUAUGCUGAGAUUCUAUUUGUAGGUUGCAUGAGUAACCUAAGGGAUUGUCUAGAAAUGCUGGUGGAAUGGCAACUAUCCUUUUGAGAAGUGUUGCUUGACAUUACCAAUAUAUUAACAUAACUGUGCUUUACACUAAAUGAAAUAGCUGGUUCAUUCAAAAUAUUUACAUUUUAAAUGAACAACUGAGAUUUGAUAUAGAUUCCACAAUGUUCUUUGGGCAUAAAUUUGCAGUCACACUAGUGGGAAAAUGAUUUUUAAGUAAUGUGCUGAAAAUUACUGUUUGACCACGAGAAGAUUAAGUUCAAAUAACUUGUAUGUUUGUAUAAUGAUGACUAUAUUCAUAUACACAACAAUUUGGAAUUGCUGGUGGAAGAUGAUUAAUAGGACAGAUUAAUAACAUGACUAUAUUCAUGUUAUUUUCUGAUCAUCUGUUAAGAGCUUCUAGAUAAUUCUUAGCCUUUAUCCUGAAUGUCUUGACAGUUACAUAUUUUCUAUCUUGUUUUGAUGAACAGACUUCUAGUCAACAGGCUCUGCAGAUAUUUCUGUUUCUCCUUGUUGAAUUUGGCUUUUUUUAAUAAAGUACCUAGCUCUUUUAUUAUGUUGAAUGAAGAAAAAGUAAAAAUACAGGAAAUGGUCUAUUUAAACUUCUUGACAUGCUUAUUCAAACUGCUGAGACACGUUAAUCUCACCACUCCAACCUAUUCAACAGAGUCAAAGCUUCUUGAAAGUGGAUCACCAAGAUGCUAGAUAGUAGGAAAUGAAAUUUUUAUCCUUACUUCCUUCAGCUUCUCUCCAUCCAAAGGUUUGUUCAAAAUGCCCACGUUUCUUGUUAAAGAGGAAUUAACCAUGUUUUAUUUUGUUUGUACUUGUAUCUGUUUUUUCUGGCAAACCUUUCUGGACAAACAUUUCACUUUGUAUUUAGAACUUAUGCAGGAGAAGGCAAAUUACAUACCAUCUAUGAGUGCUUCAGUCACCUCAUCUUGUGUCACGUUCAGAGCUCGUAAAAGUAUAGCUAUGUUCUGCGACUUCUUGGGGUCCAGCACUCUGUUUUCACGUUCAACUGGAGGAAGAACUGAUUUUCUAGUUGUCUCUUUCGGGACUGAAUUUGUGGAAUUACAUCCAAAAAGAGUCUCCAUCAUGUCCUCAUUCAACCUACAAACAAGCCAACACAUUUGCGAGGUCACAGAUUGUACCUAAUUGUACAUGCCAUGAAUGUGCAACGAGCAUACUUACUGAAAGGAGCUAGAUUUCAGCUGGUCCCACACUGUUAUUCUGUCUGAAGUUGCCCUUACUUUGUCCCAAUGCAGUGGUUUCAAUUUAGGUUUUAAUUCCUCUGUGUCAUCAGUAUCAGUCCUCUCUGAAGAACUACGACCUUUAUUAGCUUCUUCAACCAUCCUUAUUUUCUCAACUCUGGAAUUGGCUUUGGAAUCGAGAAUUACUGAUUGUUGUGGCUUUCUCAAACCUUGGGAAGAUAUUGAGCAGAUUCUUGUCUCUAAACCUCCUAAUUUCCUUGGUGCUGAUAAUGGUGGUCGUGGCGGUGCUGGAGGCGGAGGUGGAGGUGGUGGCGGUGGAGGGGGAACUGGAAUUUUAGAUGCGUGCAUUGGUUGGCUGUUGACCACCUGCAGAUGUGCCAGAUUAGGUGGUGGUGGCAGCGAAGGGAACUUUGGUCUUCUUGGAGAAUUUGAAUUAUACGAUGACUGUGGACUCUGCCUAAAUCUUGAUUCUUGGCUCUCUGCUUGAGAAGGCAGCGCUGCUGUUGGUUGUUUUGGCGGCGAUAACAGCCGAGGCUCCUUAAUUGAUGGAAUGAUGGUUUGUUUCAUGUCAAGGGAUGAAGCCGAAAGGCGCGACGACCUGGCUGAAGUCCUCUUAGAAUAAGGAUGAUGAGCACCAUUCUUGGCAUGAUUUUCAGCUCCAGCCCGAGUAACUAAGCCAUUGCCAUUGCGUGGAUGCCUUGAUCGUGAACCAUGCGCGUAAGACCCCUCUUCGUUGCUCACAGACGAGCCCUGCGGCGUGUAAAACGCGGUCUCGUGGCUCUCCUCAUCCGAUGAUGACAUUGGCGGAGGCGAAUUCAGGACUGGAAGUGGAGGCUUUGACAACGGUGGAAGUGGUUGAAGAUCUGGACUUGGCCUAUACCGAUCAGACCUUUUUGAUGAGCUGAGUUUCCGGUAUGGAGACACAUUUGCUGCAUUUGUCUCACCGACCGAUGAUCGGCUCGAUGGCUCGACCGUCCCAAUAUACAGCAAAGUUGAAGGUGGCAUUCUCGAUUCGUCGCGAAACCUCUGGGAAUUUUCUCCGACGAGCUUUUGAGAUUCACCGGAGUGCUUUGCCCUGUGCUUGUAGAGGUAGAAUGCCAAAGCUGACAACAUGCCCAGAGUGACAAUCCCAACCGAGAUUGCAAUUGCCACUUUCUUCUUGGCAGGCUUGCUGGACUGCGAGGCGAUCGAGUUCGCCACGGCAGUGCCAUUAGCCGGUAACAGGGGCGAUGGCGGCGCCGGCUGAACCUGGUCCGGGGUCGGGCCAGAGGGAGACUCAGGAAGGAAUGGCUGGUCGGGAUUGGGAAGGACAGAGCUGUCCGGCGGGGGUGGGGAUUCCUCUUCCGGCUGUGGGGUUGAAGUCACCGGAAAUAGUGGCUCGUGGAGGAUUCUUCUGGGGUUGCUUUCUGCUCCGAUCAAACGGUGGAUUGCAGCUGUGGCAGAGGCAAUAAAGGAAAGAGUUAGGAAGAGGGUGAUACGAUGAUAAUUACGAUGACGAAGAUGGGAAUGGUCCAGUUGCCAACAAGCUUCGGAAACAGAGAGAGAGGGGGGAAACCUUGUGUCUGCAGCAAGAUCUGGAUGCUCUGGCGGGUGACAUCAGCAGCAGCAGCAGCCGCAUUGUCUUUUCUUUUUUUUCCAUAUUUUUAAUGACA